rnacentral:rRNA from 1 species
GGGGGGGCAAGCGUUGUUCGGAAUUACUGGGCGUAAAGGGCGUGUAGGCGGUCCCGCAAGUCUUUCGUGAAAUCCCACAGCUCAACUGUGGAACUGCGAGGGAAACUGCAGGACUUGAGUCCGGGAGAGGAGAGUGGAAUUCCCAGUGUAGCGGUGAAAUGCGUAGAUAUUGGGAGGAACACCGGUGGCGAAGGCGGCUCUCUGGACCGGUACUGACGCUGAGGCGCGAAAGCUAGGGGAGCAAACGGGAUUAGAUACCCCGGGUAGUCCUAGCCUUAAGCGAUGAGCACUUGGUGUGGCGGGUAUCGACCCCCUGCCGUGCCGAAGCUAACGCAUUAAGUGCUCCGCCUGGGGGAGUACGGUCGCAAGGCUG